GCAGCAGGCGCGAAACCUUUACACUGCACGCCAGUGCGAUAAGGGGACCCCAAGUGCGAGGGCAUAUCGUCCUCGCUUUUGUGUACCGUAAGGUGGUACACGAAUAAGGGCUGGGCAAGACCGGUGCCAGCCGCCGCGGUAAUACCGGCAGCCCAAGUGAUGACCGCUCUUAUUGGGCCUAAAGCGUCCGUAGCUGGCCGUUCAAGUCCAUCGGGAAAUCCGCGCGCCCAACGCGCGGGCGUCCGGUGGAAGCUGUUCGGCUUGGGACCGGAAGACCUGAGGGGUACGUCUGGGGUAGGAGUGAAAUCCCGUAAUCCUGGACGGACCACCGGUGGCGAAAGCGCCUCAGGAGGACGGAUCCGACGGUGAGGGACGAAAGCUCGGGUCACGAACCGGAUUAGAUACCCGGGUAGUCCGAGCUGUAAACAAUGUCUGCUAGGUGUGACACAGGCUACGAGCCUGUGCUGUGCCGUAGGGAAGCCGUGAAGCAGACCGCCUGGGAAGUACGUCCGCAAGGAUGAAACUUAAAGGAAUUGGCGGGGGAGCACUACAACC
rnacentral:rRNA from 1 species